rnacentral:rRNA from 1 species
UUAAGCGACUAAGCGUACACGGUGGAUGCCCUGGCAGUCAGAGGCGAUGAAGGACGUGCUAAUCUGCGAUAAGCGUCGGUAAGGUGAUAUGAACCGUUAUAACCGGCGAUUUCCGAAUGGGGAAACCCAGUGUGAUUCGUCACACUAUCAUUAACUGAAUCCAUAGGUUAAUGAGGCGAACCGGGGGAACUGAAACAUCUAAGUACCCCGAGGAAAAGAAAUCAACCGAGAUUCCCCCAGUAGCGGCGAGCGAACGGGGAGCAGCCCAGAGCCUGAAUCAGUGUGUGUGUUAGUGGAAGCGUCUGGAAAGGCGUGCGAUACAGGGUGACAGCCCCGUACACAAAAAUGCACAUACUGUGAGCUCGAUGAGUAGGGCGGGACACGUGGUAUCCUGUCUGAAUAUGGGGGGACCAUCCUCCAAGGCUAAAUACUCCUGACUGACCGAUAGUGAACCAGUACCGUGAGGGAAAGGCGAAAAGAACCCCGGCGAGGGGAGUGAAAAAGAACCUGAAACCGUGUACGUACAAGCAGUGGGAGCACGCUUAGGCGUGUGACUGCGUACCUUUUGUAUAAUGGGUCAGCGACUUAUAUUCUGUAGCAAGGUUAACCGAAUAGGGGAGCCGAAGGGAAACCGAGUCUUAACUGGGCGUUAAGUUGCAGGGUAUAGACCCGAAACCCGGUGAUCUAGCCAUGGGCAGGUUGAAGGUUGGGUAACACUAACUGGAGGACCGAACCGACUAAUGUUGAAAAAUUAGCGGAUGACUUGUGGCUGGGGGUGAAAGGCCAAUCAAACCGGGAGAUAGCUGGUUCUCCCCGAAAGCUAUUUAGGUAGCGCCUCGUGAAUUCAUCUCCGGGGGUAGAGCACUGUUUCGGCAAGGGGGUCAUCCCGACUUACCAACCCGAUGCAAACUGCGAAUACCGGAGAAUGUUAUCACGGGAGACACACGGCGGGUGCUAACGUCCGUCGUGAAGAGGGAAACAACCCAGACCGCCAGCUAAGGUCCCAAAGUCAUGGUUAAGUGGGAAACGAUGUGGGAAGGCCCAGACAGCCAGGAUGUUGGCUUAGAAGCAGCCAUCAUUUAAAGAAAGCGUAAUAGCUCACUGGUCGAGUCGGCCUGCGCGGAAGAUGUAACGGGGCUAAACCAUGCACCGAAGCUGCGGCAGCGACACUAUGUGUUGUUGGGUAGGGGAGCGUUCUGUAAGCCUGUGAAGGUGUACUGUGAGGUAUGCUGGAGGUAUCAGAAGUGCGAAUGCUGACAUAAGUAACGAUAAAGCGGGUGAAAAGCCCGCUCGCCGGAAGACCAAGGGUUCCUGUCCAACGUUAAUCGGGGCAGGGUGAGUCGACCCCUAAGGCGAGGCCGAAAGGCGUAGUCGAUGGGAAACAGGUUAAUAUUCCUGUACUUGGUGUUACUGCGAAGGGGGACGGAGAAGGCUAUGUUGGCCGGGCGACGGUUGUCCCGGUUUAAGCGUGUAGGCUGGUUUUCCAGGCAAAUCCGGAAAAUCAAGGCUGAGGCGUGAUGACGAGGCACUACGGUGCUGAAGCAACAAAUGCCCUGCUUCCAGGAAAAGCCUCUAAGCAUCAGGUAACAUCAAAUCGUACCCCAAACCGACACAGGUGGUCAGGUAGAGAAUACCAAGGCGCUUGAGAGAACUCGGGUGAAGGAACUAGGCAAAAUGGUGCCGUAACUUCGGGAGAAGGCACGCUGAUAUGUAGGUGAAGUCCCUCGCGGAUGGAGCUGAAAUCAGUCGAAGAUACCAGCUGGCUGCAACUGUUUAUUAAAAACACAGCACUGUGCAAACACGAAAGUGGACGUAUACGGUGUGACGCCUGCCCGGUGCCGGAAGGUUAAUUGAUGGGGUCAGCGCAAGCGAAGCUCUUGAUCGAAGCCCCGGUAAACGGCGGCCGUAACUAUAACGGUCCUAAGGUAGCGAAAUUCCUUGUCGGGUAAGUUCCGACCUGCACGAAUGGCGUAAUGAUGGCCAGGCUGUCUCCACCCGAGACUCAGUGAAAUUGAACUCGCUGUGAAGAUGCAGUGUACCCGCGGCAAGACGGAAAGACCCCGUGAACCUUUACUAUAGCUUGACACUGAACAUUGAGCCUUGAUGUGUAGGAUAGGUGGGAGGCUUUGAAGUGUGGACGCCAGUCUGCAUGGAGCCGACCUUGAAAUACCACCCUUUAAUGUUUGAUGUUCUAACGUUGACCCGUAAUCCGGGUUGCGGACAGUGUCUGGUGGGUAGUUUGACUGGGGCGGUCUCCUCCUAAAGAGUAACGGAGGAGCACGAAGGUUGGCUAAUCCUGGUCGGACAUCAGGAGGUUAGUGCAAUGGCAUAAGCCAGCUUGACUGCGAGCGUGACGGCGCGAGCAGGUGCGAAAGCAGGUCAUAGUGAUCCGGUGGUUCUGAAUGGAAGGGCCAUCGCUCAACGGAUAAAAGGUACUCCGGGGAUAACAGGCUGAUACCGCCCAAGAGUUCAUAUCGACGGCGGUGUUUGGCACCUCGAUGUCGGCUCAUCACAUCCUGGGGCUGAAGUAGGUCCCAAGGGUAUGGCUGUUCGCCAUUUAAAGUGGUACGCGAGCUGGGUUUAGAACGUCGUGAGACAGUUCGGUCCCUAUCUGCCGUGGGCGCUGGAGAACUGAGGGGGGCUGCUCCUAGUACGAGAGGACCGGAGUGGACGCAUCACUGGUGUUCGGGUUGUCAUGCCAAUGGCACUGCCCGGUAGCUAAAUGCGGAAGAGAUAAGUGCUGAAAGCAUCUAAGCACGAAACUUGCCCCGAGAUGAGUUCUCCCUGACUCCUUGAGAGUCCUGAAGGAACGUUGAAGACGACGACGUUGAUAGGCCGGGUGUGUAAGCGCAGCGAUGCGUUGAGCUAACCGGUACUAAUGAACCGUGAGGCUUAACCUU